rnacentral:lncRNA from 1 species
AAAGAAUGUGGAGUGAGAGAGAACGAUCAAGAAACACAGAGGAAAAAAAGUUUGGAGUGAGUAUGAAAAAGUCUUGAUGUUUUACGUGAGAUUGUUGAAAGAAGAAUGUAUAUGUAUUUUCAACUAAAAAGUCUCACACAAUCCAUUAAAAUCCAUUCAAAGAAAGAAUCCAUUCAAAUCUAUAUAUUUUUGAAUACCACA